UCCAGAUUAUAUAAUCUGGGGGGUAAACAAACAGGCCCUUAGUUCCUUGGUGCAGAAUCUCGCCAAAUAGAGCAGAAUCACCGUGCCAACUACUUCCUGUGCCCUAAAAAGGCUAAAGCAGCAAAUUUCAUAGCCAACAGGCAGAGGGGCAGAGGAGUUGCUUCGCUCAUCCUGCUGCCGAACUGCUAGGGCACCAGGAUUCCAGCAAAGGGAUUCCUACCGAAUCUGCAGCUGGCCAUAGCGCCCCGCGCCCCCGUCCGUGUCUGCAUGACUUGGUUUAGGCCAUAGGCCAUAGCGAUUGCUAUCCGUUUUUUUGUUCUUGGUGUGGUAGAUUCAACUUGCAAAAGGCCUAAACCAAGUCACGAACGAUUCCGAAGUUCUACAGCACUUAUGUACCAAGCACCCUUCCAACUUGUAAAAGAAUGUUUCUAUCACUUCAGCCGAGCAGGAGGGGGCUAUAUAAGCGUGUUUGAUUAUUCGAGCAACUGCAGGCGGGAGCUUCGGCAACGUCCAUACCCCGUCGAUGAGACGAUGACGGAGGGUUGCAGCGGCGUCCUGGAUCUGCCACCGCCACCGUCCUCGCUCGAACUCCCAGCUCGGGCCGCUGCAAGCAGGAUCUGGUUCAGACGCUGUCGUCGCCCGUCUUCAGGAGGUCUUCUUCUCCGAAUUGUGUUGUCGGGUCGUCUCUCAGAAAGCACCGUCGGGAUCUACAGCUUGCCAAGCUUGUGGGUACGGUUCGAAAAAGCCACCUCCAGUGACACUUCGUUACUAUUUGUGAGACAAUUCGAGGCGUUGAAAACUUCCUAUCGUUUUGUAAUGGUUAUCACAUGAUACUAAUCCAUAUCUAUGUGGGAAAGAUGGAUUAGUAAUUAGUUGGUUCAGUUUAAAAAGUUUGUCGGUUAAAUGAGGUUAUAUGUUUUCGUGA